AUCAUUCCUUUAAUAAUAGUCUAAAAAAAUCAUAAUGUCUGCUUUUUAACUCAACAAUUAGGUUUAAUUUCCCAUAAAUGAGGUUUAUUGACCAUGAAUACCAAAAAUAAGUGUAGAUCUAGUAAUGAGUUUGUGUCAGUGGUGUUUAUACAUGGCAGGGAAAACACUUGUUAAACGUUUUAAAAAAAGCGCCA